GUAACAAGGUUUCCGUAGGUGAACCUGCGGAAGGAUCAUUAAUGAAUACAGAUGCCUGUCGAGCUUGCUCACGGGCUUUCUAUCAUAUCCAUAACACCUGUGCACUUGUUGGAUGAUCUAAAGACAUAGGGUAAAACCUAAAGUCAAUAGUCAUCCACUUACACUAAACAAUAAUGUAACAAAUGUAGUCUUAUUAUAACAAAAUAAAACUUUCAACAACGGAUCUCUUGGCUCUCGCAUCGAUGAAGAACGCAGCGAAAUGCGAUAAGUAAUGUGAAUUGCAGAAUUCAGUGAAUCAUCGAAUCUUUGAACGCACCUUGCGCUCCUUGGUAUUCCGAGGAGCAUGCCUGUUUGAGUGUCAUGAAAACCCUCAACCUUAGAUUGGUUAUUUGACCUUUCUUUGGCUUGGAUUUGGACGUUUGCCGAUGUCAAGUCGGCUCGUCUUAAAAGUAAUAGCUGGAUCUGUCUCGCGACAUGGUUUGACUUGGCGUAAUAAGUAUUUCGCUAAGGACAUCUUCGGAUGGCCCUGUUGCAGGACUAAAGACCGCUUUCUAAUCCAUUGAUCUUCGGAUUAAUAUUCAUAACAUCU
rnacentral:rRNA from 1 species